rnacentral:rRNA from 1 species
GACAGAGGGUGCAAACGUUGCUCGGAAUUACUGGGCGUAAAGGGCUCGUAGGCGGCCAACUAAGUCAGACGUGAAAUCCCUCGGCUUAACCGGGGAACUGCAUCUGAUACUGGAUGGCUUGAGUUCGGGAGAGGGAUGCGGAAUUCCAGGUGUAGCGGUGAAAUGCGUAGAUAUCUGGAGGAACACCGGUGGCGAAGGCGGCAUCCUGGACCGACACUGACGCUGAGGAGCGAAAGCCAGGGGAGCAAACGGG